GGAUAUAAAAAGCUAUCUCUGUUUGCCAUUCAUCUUUACAUGCUGUAUGGGUUUGCUUUUACUAUGCAAGCCAAUUAUACAUUGGAUGCUACUUCUUCCUUCAAGAAAGAAAGUUUUCUUUUAAAGAAAUCAUAACAUUCACUUUAAAGUAUGAGCUACCACUUUAUUGCGCAUAGCUGGUUCUCACACGAAUGACACUGGCGAUUUAAAACAGUAGAUACACGAGAUUGAGCGUAAACUGAAGGCGUAGAUUUCAUGUCAUGUAAAAAACCUAUUUGCUUUUUCAUAUUUGGAGACACUCAUACCUCUUGUUCCCCGACUGAUAAAAUGCUGAAAGAUGCUGCAGAAGUAAAGGAAAAGGACAGGAUUGCAGUUUUGAGGUUUGAACAUAACAUGAGUUUUAUAAUACAUGAACAUUAAUGGAAUUUUCAUGUCAUUUUUAUCUCUUUUUGGUAAGAACCCGAGCUUUAGUUGAGAAACGAAUGAAAGGUUGACAACAACAUACAGAAAAACAAGCCUAACAAAAGAAGAAAGCAAGAACUAACUACAGAAAAAGACGUACUCCAAUCCUACAAAAUCAAACCAAGAUCAUAAUUAUGAAAGAAAAAAGAAUUUUCAUUCACAUCCAAAUGUGUCCUCCAUUAGCAACAAUUCUUCUUUCCAAGUUCCCAUAAAGCUCAUAGGCCAAAGUUUUGGAAGAUAGUAGACUAUUAUAUUCACUUAGAAGCUAUUUUAUGUCACUUCUGUUCGUAGAUAUGAUAUUAUGGUAAUGACUUUUUACUUUUAUAUAGAUCGUAAACAAAGAAAUAUGUCCAAUGACAUAAGAAAUAUACAUUAAGAUAAGGUACUUCUACAUCCAAUUUCAUAGCUUUGUCAAUUCAAAAAAUGGCAAUCAAGUCAGGUGGUGUUAGCAAGAAUCUAAGGAGAUGGCCGCCGGUCGACCUUUAAUCAAGGCCAAAAAUAGUGUUUUCAAUCUAACUGUCUCUAGCCAAAUGGCUGAAGAAAAUCUCUUCUGUACAAGAGAAAGUAAGGCCACCCAUUGGAUGAUCAUAUCCAAACUCCUCUUCAGCUUGACUCAACAAGUUAUGGAAUGAAGGAUUGCCCAAAUAUGCAACAGGGACCAAAAAUCUCUUCUUUUCAGUCUCUCCAACAUAGACAGCCAAGUGGCCUUUCGGCACGGCUGCAGUUCUCGACAACUGACGAAUACGCCAUGGGAAGUGCUUUGGAAUUGCAAUUCUUGGCAAAGGGAUGCCCAUUUUUGGUAAUAGGUGGUGGUAAAUGAAUCUCAAGAGAAUUGGAAAUGGUAGCUGCUGUGAUGGGAAUUGGUGUUCUUUGAAUUGUGUGUAUAUAUAAAGAAAACAAAUCGGCAAAUUGCCUUUUUGUAGUGAAAGAACAACCACAAUGGAUUGAGUUUUGGGCCAUAAUCUAUAAAGGUCACAUGGCUUUGUCCCCCAACAAAAAGCCAUGGUGAACUUCAUUUCCUAUUGUUAAUUUCUUUUUAUAACAAACCAUGAGGACCUACAAUUCUCAGUCAAACAAAUUAUUUUUUGGCCAUCAUCACAUUCAUACAUUGUGGAUCAUUUGAAAAGAAGAAAAGACGAGAAUCAUUUCAAGAGACCAAUAAGCAAAAUCAUAUGGCAGAUAAUCUUUUUAAAAACGUAAAUCAAAACGAUUGAUUUGUCGAUGUUCUUGACCAUAUACACGUGAAUUCUACAAGGUCUUGCAACCUUUGGUCUUUGGAAGCUAGCCAACAAAUACAUUAUCAUAAAAUGUCAUAAUAUUUAAACAAAAACCAUUGGCUACAUGAAGAUUACAGGAAUUUGGUCCUGAAUUUGAAGGGGUCAUAGAUCAAGUAGUUGAAAUAAAAUAGACCAAACAGUUUAUUUCUAUUUUCUUUUAAGUGAACUUUAGGAAUACAUGGGCAUCUACAAAUUAGGGCGGUAUAAAGAAAAAAGGACUCCAAUCAAGAAGAAUAAGACCUAGUAAGUAAUUACAAAAUGACUGUCAUUGAUGCCUAAACAGAAACACAGAAUCUAACAAGAGACCAAACGUCAGAAGGAUCUCUCUCAAUACCUCUAAUGCCCCCAAAGACUCCAAAAAACACAAACGUGGCGUGCACAAGGACCUUCCCUUCUCAUGAAACAGAGGAGGAAGAAGGAACUCCUUAGUCAUCUCCAUGCAGACUAACUGGAAACCAAGCACAUAACAAACAAUAAUUCCAAGCAGAUCAAGCAAUAUUCUUAUGUAUUUGUACCAAUAUCAAAUGAGUGUUAAAUUUAUCACAAAACAUUGAUUAAUCAUGGAUGAUACUUUUUGAUGAAAAGCAUUAUCUUAAUUAUUGAUGAUAUAAAGACGCAAAAGCAUUAUCUUAAUUAUCCAAAGUUAAUUUCACUUCAUUUCUUUUUGUGUGUAGCUUGAAAUGACUAUGCUUUAUGUCUUUCCUAUAAAUCCCAACUUUUUAGAAAAUAAAGUGAUAUGGGAAACUUUAAUAAUAACUUUUAUGUCAUGGACUCAUGCUUGUGGAGCCUAAUCAUAAAUAAUCUAGAAAAGAAAUCACAUAGAGCUCUAAAUAAGAGACCAAUUGUUGAGGAUAGAAUUAUAGUUAUAGAAAGUUUGGUGUUGUUUCAAAAUGUUAGAGCCCUAACAUUAAUUCAUUGUUGAAUAAAUCUUUCAAAAUUUAUGAAGUCCAACAAAAAUGAAUUAAUAGUUUAUUUAUUUUAACUUCUAUCAGCAUAAAUUCUAAAAUUUUGUAAAUAUAUUAGUUUAUUUGGUAUGUUUAAAAGCAUUCCUAAAAUUUAAUUGAAACAAAAUUACACAACUAAAGAAGCUUAAUACAAAUUAAAUCAUAAAAAUUUUACUAUAAAAUAUUAUUAAAUUCUAUUGUCAUGACAUUUAAUGCUAAUGAAUUAUAUUUUAACCAUUUAUUUGGUAUUAACAAAUAACUAAUUGAAAUAAAACUACAGCAAUUUAAAAGGUUAAUGUAUUUUUUUAUUAGAAAUUUUAUUAACAAAAAACAUAGAUUAAUCUUGUGUUAUACUAUAUUGAUAAGAAUUUUAUAUUUUUAACAAAGUAAACAAUAAUAGAUUAUUUAAUAUAAAAUUUUGAAUAGCUAAAAGUAAUAUAUAUAUAUAUAUAUAAAAUUAUUGAGUACAUAAUGAAGAGACUGAAAUUGUGAAACAAUUAAAAAAAUGUAUGGAUCCAAAGAGAGAGAAACGAUAGAAGUUGUAAAAUAUUUUUUAAAAAAGAACUUUUUUAUGGUGAGUGAUUCUUAAAUUGGUAUGAUCAUGGACAAGGUUUUCUUGCUUGAAUUUUAUCAUACACCAUCAAAGGGAAUCCAAAUUUUCAUUCACAUUCCUUGACUUUAAACCUCUUGAUAGAAAUGUAAUAUUGUUAUUUGUAAAUUUACCAACCAAUCUACAAUUCAUCGAUUGUGCGGUGCCAUCAAUGAAGGUCUUUUUUCUUUCUUUUUUGAGACAAUAGAACACACAACGAGCCUACACCAAACCAACUCAUCUCAAAGUAGGAGGACAAUCCCAGAAAAACACCUUUCCAAAUGAAAAAAUAGACUUUGUUGACGUAAGUAUAUGUAACCACUAGAGCCUUGCAAUUAAGAAAAUAAAUGCAACCACAAAGGUAAGAAACUUAACCUUCACAAUGUUUAGUAAAACAAAUUAUUUAUUAAUAUGUAUAUAAUCACUUUAAUUGAAUGCGAAAAUUUUGAUAGAUACAAACCUUUAGUUUUUCUAAAAGUCCAUCACCUUUCUUGCCAGCUUACCUAUCUCAAUUUAUCUUUUACCAAGGAUCAAAUAGACAUAAACAUCGUAAAUUAAACUAGUAGGUUAACCAAUUUUUACUCUUUAACAUUAUUCCGAGCAGUUGACAAAUUUAUAUGGGGCCAUAAAUGAGAUUCUUGUAUUCUUCAUUGUUAGGGAUCUACAAAGUCUCAAAAAUGAAUCUAAAUAUGAAAAUCAAUUGAGACACACCGAUCUAACUCAUUUUUUUAUCAAGAAGAAUUUGAGGGCAAAAACUUAGCUUGAAUGGGGAAAUUUAAAAUUUAUUGAAAGUACAAAGAAAUAAAAUUUAAACGGGAAGGACCAAAAUGGUAAUUUAACCAAAAAAUCUAAUAUCAAUAUUUUCCCCACUAGAUUUCUUUCAUUGUGUAUCCAUCUUGUAAAGAGAAUUCCAAGAUUCACAACCUUUCUAUCUCAACAAUUAAUAUAUACAUUAUCACAAUGAAAAGGAAAUCAUGCAUUCAAAUGUAACACAUUAUUACACUGAAAAGAAAAUCUUAAAAGCAUGUUUCAUAAAAAAGGUAAUCCUACUGGAUUCAUUGAUAUGAAGAAAGUGGUAGGUCACUAAUUUGCUGCAUUAUCGUACAGAAUGGCAAUCAGUAUGAAGAAAAUGAAUCAGAAGACAAAGGCAUGUGACUUCCUUCCAAGGCUUUCAUCUUCACUCCACUAAAACUAGUAGUUUUUAUGAUGUUAAAUAUGAUGUUAAAACCUUCUUGUUCAUUGGAUCUAUUUCACCUCUAAAGCUAAUCCUUCAGCAUCAAACUGCCACUAGUUUACCAAAUCAGAUUCUCAUUUGAUUUAUGAAAAGGAAUUACUGGGUAAGAUGCAACGCCCCAGGUCAAGGACUCAUACAAGGAUUGAAAACUUGAUGGCUCUAGCAGUCUUCUGCAUCUCCUGUGACGUGACAAUGACGUAUUUGUUUGUCUUAAAUGGCUUUUAAGAGUGAAAACUAUCUCCACAAAUCAAUAUAGAUCCUUUCAACAUGUUUUGUCCCCACUCACAUGCCUAGAAUUGUACUAAACUAAGUUUAACUUUAGAGUUCUUAUGAAUGAGUCACCGAAAAGAUAGGCAAACCUUGUUGGUUUAGGUAAUAACUUUGAAUUCUUUAAAGUCUUUCUUAACCAUAUUUUCAUAUCCUAUAUCCCUCUCAUUUGUGAUCUUAGUUCGUGUGUGUACCUCUCCUAAAUUCGGUGUUAUAUACGAUCAUUGUCAAUCAGGACCUUCAUUAUCCAAAAGUUUGUAGUUUACUUUUCUUGGAGUCGACUCAUGGACUUUCUGUCUGGCCUACUCUAACAUCAUGUAUUUCUUCCAACUUUCUGAGGUGGAAAGUUGACAGCCGUUGGGAGGGUGAUUUAGGGAUAAGAUUUGAUAACCACGAAGAAUAUUCAAAAGGAUCUGGUAAUCCUAUUGUAAGAUUCUCAAUCAUGAACUCAUCCACACCAACAAAGAAAGGAAGCAAGCAAUCCCUCCCUAAUCAAACACAACUUUGCGCCAUCCAGUAGAAAUUUAGAUCAUGAUAUUGGAAUUGGACUUUACAUAACAAUGCCAAGGACAUCUAAAGAUUCAAAUGAAUGAAUUAUCCAAUCCAUUCUGGUACUUGACACGGUAAGGUCAUACGGAUUUUGUAAAUGCUUCAAUAAUUAGAAAUUAUAAGUUGGAGUUAGUAGAUUAUACUAAAAAAGUUCACAAAGUUCGCAUGGAAUGAUAACGAUAUCAUUGAAUAGGCAUUGCCAAGAUGCCAACCUGGCUGACUGGACACUGUCCUAUCUCUGAAAAAAAGAUAAACUGAUAGUUAAGAUAUUUCCUCACCUAGUUCGUCGAAGUUUCUACUUCUAAUAAAACCACGUAAUGGACACUGCGUUCGGAAAAGUCCACAUAGUACCAGAGACGUGUGGACACCAGCAUUUAUUACAUGUCCUGGAAGCAUAAAUUCUUGAAGAAGCAUAUGAAAGUUCAUUAUCAAAGCAUCUAGUAUCCGAGUUUGAAGUGUUGCAAAAGUGAAGGGUCAUUAAACUGAUAGAAAGAACAAAAUUUCACACUGAGGCGUCAAACUCUAGCAAAAAGUUUAGAUAUACAAUAAUGAGUACUAUACUAUUCAUGACUCUUCAUUGAGAUACUGUCUGCAGAUGCAUAAUUUAGUUUAAAGCAAGAAGAAAAUGAAAAGUUAGGUCACUGUUUUCUUCAAAUUAAGGGACCCUUGAGUCAACCAAAUGAACCCACAGAGGCUGGUUGGCUAGUUGGCAAAGAGGAUAAAGAAAAACAAAAACAAACCCAAAAAAGCAAGCAACUUAAAGAAGCAGGCCAAGUUCAGUGCUUAAUCAAGUAAUCUAAAAAUGGAACUUAAAUUUUUUCUUUAAUUGAAAACAUACUACAUGUUGAUAAGAACAUGCCCAACAUCAAUUAAUUUAGUGCUUUAUUUGAUUAAAAACUCAAGGAUUCACAAGUUGUCCUUUCUUUUCCUUUUUCUCUCUUUUUUUUUUCCCUAUUUUUCCUAAACACAUACACAUUUGUGCAAGCAAAUGGUAGGGUAUUAUGUUUUGCACUAAACAAGGCAAACCAUGUGAAAUAUUGCCAAUUUCUUCACCUGCUAUGUUUUCAUUCCUUCUUCUUACUUUUCUACUUAUCCAUAAUUGACAAAAAUUCUACACACACACACACACAUAUAUAUAUGAGCACAAACCCACAUACAACACUCACUCACUCAACUCAAAGUACCAUAACAAGUCCUUUCAAAUCCAGUUCAAAAGGCAAUUCAAAACAGGGGAUCUUUCUUUGUUGUAAAGCAUAGAGAUAUGGGAAUUCAUUUGACAGGAAUAGCAAAUGCAAAGCAAAAGUUACAAAGAACAUUCUCAGGGAAAUACGGGAUUGGAUCGGCGGUGACGACGAAUAAUGUUCCUAAAGGACAUUUUGCAGUUUAUGUAGGAGAAACACAGAAGAAGAGGUUUGUAGUUCCAAUAUGGUACCUGAAUCAUCCAUUGUUUAAGGAUUUGUUAAACCUUGCGGAAGAGGAAUUUGGAUUCGAUCAUCCAAUGGGUGGACUUACGAUUCCUUGCACCGAAGAUUACUUCAUCAGCUUAACUUCAGCCCUGAAUUGUUCAUAAACCCAUUUGGAAUUUCCAUUUUUCUUCUUCUUCUUCUUCUUCUUCAUCAUUUGCCCUAAUUUUAACAUUUUCUUGCUUCCAUUUUUUUUUUCUUGUUAGAGAAUUUGAAAUCAAGAGAUUCAAACUAAAGUUUGUCUCUGUGAAUUUUGUAUCAUUAUUGAUUGUUCUUCCUAAUCAUUACUAUUACUAUUAUUAUUAUUAUUACCCCUUUAAACUCAGUGAUUCCAAAUUCUAAUUUCCACCCCUUUUCUUUCUUCAUAUCUUAAAAUUAAGAUUAAUUCAAUUGCAUAGUGAGAAUGAAUCAUUGAUAUUUUCACAAAUCUCCAUCUAAUUAACUCUAUCUAUCUUUUGUUAAUUAGUGUGGUUAACUGCAAGAAUAAGUUCACCUCAAAUCAUUUAGCUACCUACACUCAAAGCUUUGGAUACUCAAAUGUGUAGCAUAAAUACCAUCCUUUGUCAAUGGAUUCUUCAUAUGAUUUGUUAUUAAAAAAUGCAUAGAAAAUAUUUACAAACACAAUCAAUCAAUAUUUUAAAUUACAACAUCGCAUUAAGUUUAAAUUUAAAUUUUUUAUUCAAAAUAAAAAUAUUUUAGCUUGUAUCAAAUAUUUAUUAUAGGAUGGAAGGAGAGGUUUCAUCCCAACUCCAACUCCAACUCCAUAAUGAUGAGAAAAAAAUUAAACUAAAUUGAUUUGUUUAACCUAAUAAUUUAUAUUCAAAUUAACAAUUUAAUUUAAAUGAAAAAAAUAAUGUAAGAAAAAUAAAUUUAUGUGAAAAUUAAAAAAGAAAAGAAAAAGUAGAGUUUCUAAAAUUAUGUUGUAAGAAAAUGUUGAGAGUGGAGAAAGCUAAAAAGCAUUACUUUAAAUCCAAUUUGGUUAAAACUUAAUUUUAAGAAUAGGUUUGAAGAAAAGCAAAGAAAUAUUUUCCCGAAAGAUUCCAAAAUAAUUUGUGAAAUGUCACUAUUUUUCAUGUGUUUUUGGAAUUAUUAAGUGAUAUUGAAAUGAUAGCGAUGGGAAAUAAUUGUAUUUAAUUAUUACUUCAAAAAGCCUUCUUCUUUUUCUUUUUCUCUAUUAAAUUUUUCUCCAAGGUUAAUUUUUUUUCAAUUAUAUGAGUUGAUAUUGACCUUAUUUUAUGCCAAUACAUUGAAUCUUACAAUUUACUUAGAUACAUUUGAAUAUUUGAAAUUUAGUGUAAAUUAUUUUUUAGCUAUUAUUAACUCAUUGCUCAUUAAUGUACUUCAUAUCUUGAGGAAUUUUUAAAAAUAAUAAAAUUUACCAAAUAUUUACAACCUAUAGCAAAUUCUAUCCGUGGUAGUAAUUGAUAUACUAUAGUAAUAGAAUCCAAAAUUUUGCUAUAGUUUAUAAAUAUUUUAAUUUAUUUUGCUAUUUCAAAAAAUGUUCCAAAGAUAAACAAAUAAAUCAUAACUAAGUUCAAUUACCUUAUUCUUUAUAUGAAAUGGAGAAAGAGUCAUAUUUCUAAUUCACCUAUAGAUCAAAAACUUAAGUUAGUAAGUAAAAACAAACUUCAUAUGUAUCUAAUACUCUCCCACUCGUGGAAAGAUGAAAAAGAUACGAUAGUAUGUAAGUUUGGAGCACUAGACCUUAUGAUUGUUCGGCGAUUUUACUUUAAUAACAAUUUAAAUCAUAAAUUUAAUAUUAUAUCAAAACUUCAACAUUUUUACAACAAUAACUUCACUGAAAAAACGUAAGAAUAGGUAGAAGCUCGGUUUCAUUCCAGUUUUAAGAGUUAAUGUUGAAUUUUGCUUAAUGAAAAGAUAAUCAAACAAAAAAAGAAGUUUUUUUCUUUUUUGCUUUUUAUUUUGAAGAUAUAUAUAUAUAUAUAUAUAUAUAUAUAUAUAUAUAUAUAUAUAUAUAUAUAUAUGUAUCUAAUAAUUUAAAUUAGGGUUGAAAGGAGAGACAAUGACAAGACCAGAAAGCCAUGAUUUUGAAAAGAUUAAGGAAAAUUACAAAGUGUGUUUAGUCAAAAUCAUAUACUUUAUGUUAAACCAACCCACUGCAUAUAAUUAUAAUUAUAUGUUACUUUCCAAUUUCAAUCACAAUCCAAAAACACCACUCAACUCAAUCUUAUGAAUCUCUUUUUCCCUAACUAAAACAAUACAAAAUUAAAUAUACACUCUUUUUUAGAAUGAGAUCACAAUGUACAACAUGUCAACUUCAGCAACUCUUUAUUUUUGCAACAAGAUAAGACCAUUGUGAACGCACAUUUUAUCUAAUAUUAAGUGUGUAUUGAACUUUAGUGAUAACUCGUUCCUAUCGUUUUGAAGAUAGGACGACAAUCUCUUUUUUUAGUUCAAUACAUGUAAGGUGGCCUACGGCAUUUAAAAUAAAAUAAGAUCCAUAUUGGAUAUAGAUCAAAUGCGUGCAUCAAAAUAUGCUAUUUCAUGUAAAGUUCAAAAAUCUUAUAAGAUAGGGAAAAUGUGGAUAUGGCUUAACCGAAGAAAAAGUGUAAACCUCUUUUAUAAACGUGUCGAUGAAGUGGGUAGAGAUCGCAGUCAUUAUCGUAAUGUUGUUAUGUAGGAAACAUUUUUAUGAAUAUUUAAAUUCUAUCCAAAUAAGUUUUUAUUUGUCUUUGACUUUCUUUUGUUAUGUAUUUUACUAUGUUAAUAGAACGAUCACUUACCUUGAUAUAGUAAAUUACGAAGACUUUAGUGUUAAAUCAUUUUCUUCGAAUUGCUCUUCCAAGAUUAACAAAACAUCAUUUUUAGAUCAUAAGUACACUCAUAAAAAAAGAAAGAUUGGAAUCAAUUUUUUUACCCAAUCGCUAGAGAAAUGGAAAAAUAGACAACAGGCAAAUAUGAAAAUAAUGCUCGUUUUUUAAGAACCCAAACAAACCAUUUUAUAAAAAACCUCAAAAGAUCAAAAUGUUUUCGAGAUCUACCUUAAAUAAAUGAGUUCUUGCAAAAAUAGCAAAAAAAUUAUGAUAAUAGAACUCAUAUCACUACAUUUUUUUUAAUUGUAAAAGUAGGCAAAUUUAAAAGUCAAUAAUUUUUUGCUCACCCUCCAAUAAUCAUCUGAUAGUUGACUGAUAUCAUUAAUUAUUUGUCAUAUUUUUCAUAUUCGCAAUAUAUGCAAAAAAAAAAAAUGUCAUGGAUUGUUUUUUUCUAAAUGGUUUUAUCAUGUAAUACAAUUUCCCUUGAACAAAAAAAACAAAAAACAAAAAUGUUUUAGGAAUUAGACAAAAAAAAAAAAGUAUAUGGUGGUGAAAUAGUUGUUAGAAAUGACUAUCAUCCUAAUGAAUCAUGGUUAAUGUUUAAAAAAAUAUAUGAAAAAUUAUUAUUAUUAUUUGAUGGUUACAAAUAUUGUAACUAUUUAAUGGUAAUAAUGUUUUGUUUUAAUUCACUAACAAAUCUAAAAUUAAAUUUAGAUCUAAACCCUCGUUUUUCUUUUUCUAUAUAAAGAUCUCGAUGUUGGGGGUUCUUCAUCUUCCCUUUCAAACUUUUGAUUUUUUCUCAUAACAAUAGUUUUCUUGACUUCAUUCCUUAUUUCGACGACUGCAUGCUUGAGUUGAAAAGUUGUGUUAACCUUGGAAAGCAACCGAUAUAUGUGAUUUAGCACCGAUAUCACAAUAAAUUUUGCUUUUAUGGCAGUGAUUCGUCGUGACACAACAACAAUUAACAUUUGUUUCCUACAAUAGUCAACUACAUUAUAACGCUUCGAGUUUAGGAAGGGGACAUGAAUGAACAAGUAUUACAUAUGAAUAAGAGGGAUCGUGAGGACAUGAAAUGAGUACAAGAAAGUAAUGUUAAGAAAGACUUAAAAAGAAUUAAAAGUUACUACCUAUACCAACAAGGUACAUAUUUCUAUUCGGUAGCUCAAUCAUAAGAACUACAAAGUUAAGCGUGCUAUGCUUGGAGCAAUUUUAUGUUGGAUGACCAUCUUGGAGAUUUUUCUAGAAUGUAUGUGAGUGAGGACAAAGCAUGCUAAAAUAACUCAUGUUAGUUUGUGGGGAGAACUUUAAAGAUGAUGUUGUCAGGUCGUAAGGGAAUGCCGGGGAUCCAAAUCCUGGGCUUGAAGCGUUACCUUCACCUACAAGCUUAAGCUUUUGGGUUGAAUUGGUAAUUUAAGAUGGUAUUAGAGCACCCUAUGUUAUUGUUUUUUCUUCAAUUAAUACUAAUUUCCACUUGUUGGAUCUUUCUUCAAUCAAAGAGACACACGUGAAAGAAUGGUAGAUAUAUAAUAUUAAAUUCACCUUCGCCUUCUAGCUUAAGUAUUAGUGUUGAAUUGAUAAUGUAAUAAUAAAGACGUGUUGAGGCUUUAAUGGAAGGGACCAUCGUAAGCUGUUGUCUAGCAAGAAGAAGAAGAAGAAGAAGAAGGGCGUGGCAAUAUGUAUAUCGUACUGCCAUUGACAAAAUAAAUUCCCACGGUUUUGUGUAGAAACAUGAUAGCCAUAAUUAUCAUAGGGUCGUUUAUUCUCUUUUGCUUACUUCCAAUUAUUUCUUUUAGUAGUCAGAUGCCAAUUAGUGCAUCCAUUACUUUUAUCAACUAGUUUACUGUAUCUUAACUCUUACAAAUAAGUAAAUAUUGAAUAUGAUCUAUUGAUAACGAAAUAAGAUCACAAACAAAACUUAUAAUGGAUCUUCUAAACUAAUUGGUUUGUUACUUACGUUGAUUAGGAUGAUUCUAUUAUUGAAAAUAUGGAGUAGAAAUUCAUAAUAUUUUUAAAGAUGAUUUCUCCUUCAUGGUUAACUAAUGUUUAAUAUGAUAUAUCAAAGAACAUAGCUGAAUGAGAUCUUCUAUCUAAAAAGAGAUACAAUUAAAGAGAAGAGGGAAGAGGGAAGAGGGAAGAUGGAAGAUGGGAGAGACACCAGUCCGACAUAAUUAAUCUCUCCUCUCCAGAUUGCAUCCAUUCAAAUACACAUCUUGUUUCAGUAUCAUUGUACCGUCUUCAUGGAGUCCCUCCCAUCCCUCUCUUAAUCACUUAUUUAUAUUUUUUCACUAUAAGUCUAUGCAUAUCUAUGGUAUCAUAUCAAAAAGAAUUUAUGAUAUGAAAUGGCCAAAAAGUAAGCCAUUAAAAAUAUACAAAGUAUUAAAAUGGUACUUAAUCACGUUAUUCUUUUUUGUCGUUAACAUAUAAAACUAUAUAUGCUCACCUUAGCCAUUAAAGAAAUUUCCUAUUAAUUAGCGAGAGACAAAUAGUUAACUAAGUGAACUUUAUCAAAUAAAAGACAUAUUAUAUGUUAAAAUACCAUAUUAAACUUUGCAUGUCCAUCAUAAUAAUAUAAUUAAUAAAGAUCACUAACAUUUAUAUCACUAUCCCCCUUGAGAUAUAUAUAUAUAUAUCUUUUAGGAAAAAGAUGUCAAUUAUGAUGAGUGUGAAGCUAUAUUUAAUAAUGUAUGAGUUGAGAUAUAGAAAGUCAAAUUUCAAGUGGUGUGUGUCAUGGUGGAAGCAGAGAAAAUGGAAGAUCUUAAUUACUAUCUCAAAUUUUGAUUAAAGUCUUUACUUAAUGGUGUUUCCAUCAUGGUAGGACCUAAGAUAUCCCAAAUAAUGAAGUUUUUAAGUCUUUUGACUUUGUACUUCUUUUUUUAAAAAAGAAAUUCUCAACUCUUUAAAACCUAGCUAAGGUAGAAGGUGGGAUGUCUAGUGGUAAAGAAGGGAACUUGCAAAAACCCUAAUUUGCACAUGGUAUUGUGUGGUUGUGCACUUAUAUAUGUCCAAUGAAUAUGGAAUGCCCUAUAUUUUCUCUUCUAAAUUAUUUCAAGUGGAAGAUAUAUAUAUACACACAUAAUUGAGCAUCUUGUGUGGAAGGAUUUAUCAACUUUUCUUUUUUGUUAUGUCUGUGUUUCAAGUAUUGAAAAAUAAAAUUAAUAUAUUUAUAAAUAUAACAAAAUAUCAACAUCUCUGUUAGUUAUUUAUAUCGAUAUUUAUUAUCUAUUAUCUAUGAAUUGGUAGUAAUAAUUCGUCACUAACCUCAAAGUGGCUCUAUUUCAUUAUAUUCCAUCCAUAUCCCAAUUCCAUUCAGUUAAUAUCCCUGUGGUGUCAUUGAGAUAAGAGAUGUCGUUUCUAGUCUAUCUGUUUCUCUAGUCUAUCUGUUUCUAUUUCUAUAUAUAUGGAAAGUUAAAAAAUCAUCAUAUAAUAAUAUAAUAAUCUAGAAAUUGCAAUAGAAAAGAAAAAAAAUUGCAAUAGAAAAGAAAAAUUAUGAUAUUUUUUAUAUUUAUAAAUAUUUUAAACAGUUUUAUUAUUUAAAAUAAUUAUUUAUAAAUUGAAUGAAUCAAAUAUCUUUUAUCUUUUUAUAUUUUUAAUAAUAGUUAGACACCAAAUAUACAUACAUCACAAUAAUUAAAAUAGCAGAAGAUAUCUAAUGGUGAAGUUUUUUUUCUUUUAAUGAUUUAUUUGUAUGUAUGUAUAAUGAGCUAAGUAAACACUAUUUAACAUAAAAACUCUCAAUUUGCUAUAUUUGUUACAUUAUUUAUUAUUUGCUAUUUGAUAUACAUCAUUUUUUAUUUUUUCAUUCUUUGCUAUUGUGUUUACUAUUUUCUUAUCAAACUAAAAUAGUCUAGACAUCAAAUACAUAUUAUUAUAAACUAAACUAAAAUAAUAUAUGCUUAAAACAUAAAUUAUUUUAAUAAAACCAUGAUAAGUUAAGACUAUAACAACUCACCUCUUAUCCCAAACAUUGGUUUAAUUAAAAGGGACCGUCGGCUAUUACAUUGGUACGAUUAUACAACUUUCCAUUAAUGCAAUUCACACAUUCUAUUUCACUGUAGCAGAUGAAGACGAAUCGCAUUCAUUCUACCACACCCUGUUUUUGUACCAUUUGCUCCCUCUCCUUCAAUUAUUUUCUACCAUCAUGUCUUGACCAAAAGAUAGAGAAAUCCAAAAGGGAUGGAAGAGAGAUUUUUCUUUUGGAAGAAAUAAAUAGAUAUGAAAGUAUUUUUUGAGUUUUUGUAAAAUAUUAGAAGUAUAAUUAUCUCACAAACGAAAUAUGAAAAGUAACAUUAGAUUUUGAGUACUUUAAAAGAAGUCUUUGUAAAUGGUUUCUAAUCAUAUAGUAGCUUAGUCGCGUGGACGAUGAUACUAUUCAUAACUAAGGAACCAAUCGAAACUAAAUGAGUUUAUAUAUACAUUAUUUUGGAUGAAAUGGAAAAUAUAUUCAUAAUUAGUAUGGAUAGUUAGUUGUAAUUAUACUCUUAAAUUUUCAUCGAUAAAAGUUAAAUUUAAUAAUAAUAGAAAUGAAAGAUAAAAGUUAAAUUUAAUAAUAAUAGAAAUGGAAAGUUUGUAGGUGGAAAUUCCAAUUACCACAUUUUUCAAAUUACUCCAUUAUUAUUAUUAUUAUUAUAGUUAUUGUUGUUAUUAUUAUUAUUAUUGGACAACAAUUGCAAAAACUACCUUUAAAUUAUAGUGAUAGUUACCAUUACAUUUUCAAAUUUUCAAUAAUAACAAUUGGCUGCUAAACUUACAAAAAUGUUAAAGUUUGACCCUCAAACUUACAAUAAUUAUGGAAGUUGAACUCACAAAUGGUCGAAAUUAAAAUUUCAAACUUAAAGAAACAAUUAUGUAAGUUUGAAUGUCAAAGGUUUUAGGAGCUCUUUGCACCUAUUAGAGAGGAGUGAAGUAGAUUAUUUUAGCCAAUUUCAUGUUUAGUCCUACUUGUUCUCACUCUUCCUUUUUCACAUCUUUUCUUUCACUAAGUUCUAAUUGUUUAUUAAGUAAAAGUAGAAGGUCAAGUCAAAGUGUAAAUUCUAAUAAUAAUCACCACAUGAGAAAAUUAAACAAAAUCAAUGCAUACUAUUAUAAUCUUCAAACUAUUAUAAUUCUCACACACUCUUAUAAGUCACUCAUCAUUUCAAACGCUCGCUUAAAGUUUUGAAAAGUUGUAAGUGUCGAAUUUUAAUUUUAAAAGUUAAGAGUAAUAAUUACAAUUACCAACCUGAUUUGAAGAGUGAUUUUUAGAAUCCUUAGGUCAUUAUCCAAAAUUAGGUUGGGAGAGGGGUGUGGUGAACGGGGAACCAAAACGAAGGUGAACUGCCGUGUAAGGCGGAGGGGUUGUGGAAGGUUUAAUGGAAAAGGGGCCGUGAGCAGGGUGUCGCCUCACGAGCAUCUAUGUACGGAAGUGUUGGACGAUAGUUUUGAAUUAAAUAGAAAGAAGAAGAGUAUGUGGCUAUUGAGAUUUCAGGAUUUAGGGUUUACUGAAAUAGAGACAAAAUCCCCCAUGUUCCGUGCAGGCUGCGGCAAACAAUCAUUUAUUAUUAUUAUUGCCAAUCAAUUUACGUCUUGAUCUUUUUCUUCUUUUUCCAACUUCCAAUAACUUCCCCUCUUCUACUGCUAGAAUAUGCUCAGUACACUUCUUCACAUUCAUUUUUCUUUUAUGUACCAUACAUACUAAUUCACUUCUUCCCCCUCUCCCACAAUUAUUUCUUUCCCACCUAAGCUCACGCGCAUCUCCAUUCCAUGUCUCAACUCUUAUUAAUAUCCCACAAACCAGAAAAAAAAAUCUCGAAAUGUGUAAGUGAAAGAUGAUAUAAUACAUCUUUGACAUCUAUCUUGUUUCUCACGCAUCCCUCACCCAUUUACACUAAUAUUUUCUCUAAUUCACUCUCAUAUCCACUCAUGCAAACACCAUUGAUAGGGAGACACAUCAAGGUGCUUCCAGACCAAAUAUAAAUUUCACACUGUGAAUUGUAAACAUCUCAUGUUUCACUACAACAAAAGUGGCCUAUUAUCACAUUUGUAUACAUCUCAAAUUGAAAUGAGGGAAGAAAAAACUGUCAUAAAUUUAGUAUGAAUUUAGAUUAUCUAUCAAAUGGUAUAAAAAUUUAAUGGAUUUUACAAUUUUUUUCCAAAAUUAAAAAGAAAAAAAAAUAGAAGAAAGAAAGAGUUUUAUGUGUUUAAAUUUGUAGUUGUCUAGAAUUUUAAGUUCACAUCUAUUUCAUUUAUGAAAAUUAAUUAAAUUUAAAAUUUUAGUUAUGAAUGUUUGCCAUCUAUUAUUUAUUCCUAAAACUUUGGAAGUAUAUAUUGAUUUGUUCUAAAAUUCCAAUUUUGCAUUCAAAUGUCUCAUACAAUUUGGUAAAAAAUAAUAAAAUAGCAAAAUAUGUUUUUAAAAAUAUAAAUAGUUUAUUUUUUAUUAUUUUAAAAAUAUGUUUAUUUAAUGAUUUCAUAUGAAAAUUUUGUUUGAAAAUAUUUACAAACACAUAAAAUUUCAGAAUCUCAAUAUUAAUAAAUAAAUUUUAAAAUCUUAUUUGAUUUGGUAAGUAUUUUAAUGAACUUAUUUCUCAAACUCUUUUAAAAUAGAAAAAGUAAAAUUAAAAUGGGUUCCAAAGAAAUGAUUGGCAAUUUGUUUGGGUGUUAGAAGGUGGAAAACAGAAGCGCCGCGUACGGCGGAGAUUGUCGGAGGUUUAAUGGAAAGGGGCCGCCGCAAGCUGUCGACGCGGAAGCAGUAGGGUAAGUAGAAAAGUUGAAAUACAAAGUAUACAAUAUGUGAUUUAAAUCCAAAAGCAAAGAAGAAGGUCUGUAUCUGUACUGCGUGUGAUGUUCCUCCUACUUACGCUUUAGGGUUUAUGGAAGAGACAAACAAAUUUUCCACAAGUACAAUUUCAUUAUUAUUCCUCCUGCAUAUACCUCAUACGCAACUAUAUAUACACUACUAUCAUCGCUAUCGAUCAUAAUUUCUUUUAAAAUAUUUUCAAGAAUUUUGAACUCACUUUUAGUUCUGACAUGAAUGCUUAUUAGCUAAUUUAAAGGAAAAUCAAUCCUCAUUUCUUGAAAUUUCAUUCACUUUUAGUAUUUCAUUAAUGAUUGGGAUUUGAAAUUUCCGAUCUCACAUUUCUUGUUUCGUUGUAGUAUAUAAGACGAAUUGCAUUCAUUCCACACCUCUGUUUUUGUACGAUUCUUUUGUACCUUCUCCCCCAUUUUUAUUUUCUUUCUCACCUAACUAUUUUUACUUGUGGGAUUUAAAAUAUGGAUAUGGAAAUCUUAUUAUAGGAAUAAAGAAAUAACAUUUUAGAGGAUGUCAAACAUAAAAUUAAUGUUCAGCUUGCUUUCAUGCAUCUUAAUUAAAUCACUAAUGAAUCCAAAUAUUGACUAAUACGACUCGUCUCUCUCACCAAAAUGUUGAAAUUCAAAGGGUAAAAUUAACCUAAAGACAUCAAUAAAACAUAGUUAGAAAUUAAAUGUUUAGAGAGUUUUUGUUUAAUUUAACUUAAAAUUUAUGUAAACUAGGUUAACUUUUAUAAAUGAUGGUUAAAAGUCCAUAAAAUUUAUAUGGAUUCUUCAUACAUGGAUUUGAUUUUCUCUACCAUGGCGCGGUCCAAGAAGGAAGAAGAAGGAGUGAGAAGCAUGGAUUAAUAUUUUUUCUUUUGUUAUUGUAAAAUUGAUUAAUAAUCAAUCUCAACCUGUCCAUGAAUAAAAAAAGAGUUAAUAGAAACUUUAGGUUUCUCUUUCCUUAUCAUCGUUUUUCUUUUCUUUUCUUCUUUCUUUUCCUCUUCUACCAUAUUUUUCCUUUCCAUCGUCUUUUUCUCUUCUUCUGCCAUUUUUUAAAAAUAUUUUCAUUUGUCUUUCUUUUCAUAUUCUAUGUUCGGCAAUUUUUUUUCUUUUCUUUUUUGUCAUUUUCUUCUUUCUUCGAUAAUUUUUUAUAUUUUUUUCAAACUAUUAUUUAGUUCAAGAUUGUGUGUCAAAUAUAAAAUAUCAUGAAAAAAAUCGUUGAGAUAUUAUGAUUUUCAAAUGUAAAUGAUCGUGUAUAAAAAUAGCAAAAUCUAAACGAUCGUGUUCUAAAUAUAAACGAUUGCGUAUCAAAUCUAAACGAUCGGGUAAAAAAAUAUCUAUUAAAAAAAUUGUUGAGAUUUGGCUACUCUAAUUUAAAUGAUCAAAUCUAAACAUAUAUUAUAUUCUUGAUCGUUCAAUGUAGGAUUUGAAGAUGACCAUGCUCUGAAUAUUUGUACAAUUUGGUAGAGAAUGGGAUCAUUCUUUCAAAAGAUAUGAGGGGUCAAACAAAUGGAUUGAAGUUUAGAAAUGAUAUUACAUAUAUAUAUCAAACUUGUUAGUUAUUAUGUUUGACAUAGACUCAAGUACUCUUAUGAGCUCAAUGGUUCCAGUCUCUCCAACCCAUAUAAUUGACGAUGACAAUCUCCAAUCUUUUUAGAAGGCAAUGAAGCAACUAGAAUGUCAUUGUACAUAUCAACGAUAGUUAAAUGGAUUGAUAGGGUUGAUACAAAUCAUAUAUAUGAGGAGUACAAUCGAACGUAGUUUAUUCCAAGUCAAGAGAUUUUUUAUUCUAACUUAAGAGAUUGUUUAAUAUGGGUCAAGAAAUCGUGUUUCUACGUUCAUAUGAUCGGUAUUCUAGGUUAAGAUGAACAACGUUAAAGUAAGUGGAACCAAGAGACAAUGAAAGUACCUUCAAAGAUUCUUCUUGCUAAUGGAGGGAAUAAGAAAAGUGAAGAAGAGCGAUGAGUGUUGAGAGCAUUGAGAGCGACAAGAGAACGUGAAUGAGAAGAAAACUAAGCGAAUGAGAGGAACAAUUAAUUGAGAUUCAACUUUAUUUAUAUCACAGGGGUAAAAUUGACCUUUCACACGAUAUUUAGUUUGUCAACAUGUUUUAAUAAACGAAGGUUCCACACGAUCGGUGAAUUAUUUAUAAAUGAUGGCACACUUACUUUUAAGUGAUCAUGUAAAUUAUGACUAUGCAAUCCACACACAAAAACAUAACCAAUCAUAUAAUAAAUGUUAAACGAUCGCUUAUUAAACCUAAACAAUCGUGUAAUCCGAAAGCCAUUAUUAAAAAUGUUCAAUUGUAAUAAUAUGCAUUAAAGCUUUAAAGGUUAGUUCUAAUAAAGUUUUUACAAAUAGGUCAUAGUUUUUACUUUUAAGGUUAUGGAAUUUUCAGCAAAGAAAAGUAGUGAAGACUAGGAAUCUAGGAGAAUUUUUAGAGUAGAAAUAUUAUUAUACAAUUUGUUGAUGAUACGUAACGGCACAUUUAAUUAGUAGAGUUUUAAUACACAAGUGAAGGUAAAAAUAGAGUUAACCCAGAAAGUAACUAUUUACUAAAACUAACCUCAUUCUUUUUCACUUCUUAUUAUAUAUAUAUAUAGACAUAGCCUUGUCUAUAUAUAUUAGUAUUAAACCUUUUGGGUAAGACAAAAUAAUGAAUUGUGCAUACUUGAAUUUAACGUGAGUAUGUAAACUUAAUUCAAAUUCAACGGUAUUUGACAUGAUUUUUCUAAAGGUCGAAAUUUAAACUUCCACAACUCCAACAUCUUUUUACUAUAAAAAGAAGUGAAAAAUAUAUCAUAGUAAACAUAUACAAUAGUUGACUUUAUCGAGUAUAUACGAUAAGAUUCUUGCAAUAUCCUUAUUGUAGAUCUUGUAGAAAAAAGAAAGUCGAAAAAUAGUGGAUAUCUAAAUGUGAAGGUUGUGACAAGUCAAAUUAUAUAGUAAGGUCCUCCUUCCACCUAGAAAUGCUCUCCUAAAGUGGUGGGGGAAGAAAUAAUGGAAUAAACCUACAACUCAGUCCUCUAAAAUGAGUGAAUCCUGUUGGAAUAAUACUACUUGAUCCACAUUCCUAGAGUGGUGGAAAAGAAUGUAGGAGCUACCUCUCUCAAAAGAAGAUCAUCAAAUUAAAAGGCCUUUUUUCUUUGGUUGACAUUGAAUUUUUUACAAUAUAUUUUCAAAUCUUCGAAACCUAAAGUUGGAAGGGAUAAUAACUAAAUAGUGACAUGUAUUGAGUGGUGCACUAGCUACAUAGUUCAUGUGUGUCAAUGAGUAUACUUUUUCUUCUUAUUUUUCAACUUACAAGUGGAAGAUAGGUAAGCAUAAAGUAUAUUUUGUAUAUGGAGCUAAGAGUUGUAUUUUAUAUAUGUUUUCAACUUUUUUGAUGAUGAGGAUUGCAGUGAUGUACAAGAUUAUGGCAUUGGUACAUACUUUAUUUUCGAUUAUAAUUUUAAGAGCAUGGAGAAAUAUUUACAAAAGUAGUAGCAAUCAGUUUUUAAUAAUUUGUUUCCUUUAAUAAUACAUAAACAAAUAUGGUGAAUGGGGGCAAUAUUAAAAUAAUUAAAGACAAAGAUAAAAAGAUUCAUAAGAUAAAAAGAUGAUCAAGAUAAUGUUUCAAGAAAAGAUUAAAAAAGUGAAAAAAAUAAUGUGAGUGUCUUGCUUUUUUUCAUCUCUUCCAACACUAUGGAAGCCAAAGGAGAUGAACUUGCAUGGAAAAAACCAGGGGAGUACCAUAGCGGUAUUUCACACUCACGUGGGUCCAUUCUCGUCCAUGUUGAAGCUUUGGAUAAUACCACUUUUUAGCUAAACCCCACAAUCCAAAACCUCCCUAGAGUUUUCCAUAUAAAUUCCCCGAUUCUGAGCUCAAAGAACCAUCCAAUUCUCAACCGCCGAAAAACAACAUUUCGUAUACAAGUUUUUAGCUAAAUGGGUAUUCGUCUGCCGGAGAUCAUUCUUCACGCCAAGCAAAUAACUCACCGUGCGGCGGCGCCGUCGCACCGGCAAGUUGGGUAUGAAGUUACGAAGCAUCGAUCGUCGUUUUCCGAUGUUCCGAAAGGCCAUUUUGUGGUCUAUGUUGGAGAGGAAGAAGAAGACAGGAAGCGAUUUGUUGUGCCAUUGUCGUACUUGAAGAAUCCCCUGUUUCAAGAACUGUUGAGUAAAGCUGCUGACGAGUUUGGAUUUGACAAUCACUUCGGUGGGAUUACGAUUCCUUGUGCUCAGGAUCAAUUUUUGGGUUUAACUUCUCGGUUGAAUAGACUCAUUAGUUGAAAUUGAUCAGAACUGAGAACCCAUUUGCCCGAAGCUUAAAAGAUGGUAUAGAACUCUGUAAAUUAAUCGAUGAUAUUCUUAUAUUAGAGGGGGUUUUUCAGAAAUGGGUUUCUCUUGCACUAUGGAGAGUUUAGCCACUGAUGUAUUUUCAUUCAUUUAUCUUCCUGUUUAAUACAAAAUCUGAAUCAUUGAAUCAUUGAAUCAUUGAAUCAUUGGAGUCCGUUUAUUUUCUUUAUGAAUCGUUGCUAUGCUUCAUUAAUGAUCACCAAACCAUCAGUCUCAUUUUAUUUAUCGUCAAACGCUUUGUUUGCAUCUCACACCGUUUGAUGUUUAGACAACUGAAUGAAUGGAAUAGCAAACUUCUGUUUCAUUAGGAUAAACCGUUUGGUUGUCUUCUUGGGUUGCCGAAUAUUUCUGGUGAAGUUUCACCCUCUAUGUAAAAUAAUCACUAGUUUCAAGAACUUGAGAUUGAGAUUAAACCUUGUGAAUUGUUUUAGAGACUGGAGAUGAUGGGUUCUUUCAUAUCAAAGAUUCUUCUGUAUGUAAAUGCUCUGUUCUUUGGUUUUGUUUAAAAAAAAAACUUUUUUUUUCUAGUCUUUGCUAAGAAAAAACUUAAGUUUCCGUUUGUUCUUGACAGAAUGGCUUUUGGGUAUGUCUAUCCUGCUUAUGAGUGCUUCAAGACUGUGGAGAGGAGGCCAUUAGAGAUAUUCCAACUUCUGUUUUGGUGCCAUUAUUGGUUUGUAAUGCCUGUUCUUAUGCUAUGAUCAUCUUGGCUUUUAAUUUGUUUCAAGUUAAUUACAGUGUCUAAACAUCUCAUUUUCUGUCUGUUCUGUAGGAUCAUUGUUGCUUUGCUUACAGUAUUUGAAAGAGUGGGAGACCCUUUGAUUUCAUGGUAAACAAAUGUCAUUUGUUAUCUGUAUUCUUCAGUGAGUUUCAUUUUUCUUUUCGAAUAAGAUUCAAAUAACUGAGGAUUAGGACUUGCUACUUGUAUUAUGCUCAUGGUUUGCCCUUCUAACUUGAAAAGGUUUUGCUAACUCAAGGCUAGAACAAAAUGCUUUUAAGUUUUCAAGACCUCUUUGAUAAUUAUUUGGAUUUUGAAACUUAGGUUUCUUUUGUAAUCUACUUCUUACAAGGGUUUUCAAAAUUCAAGCCAAGUUUUGAAAGCUAAAAAGAAGUUGUACUAUUUAAAAACUUGACUUGUUUUUUUGUUUUUUGGAAUUUGGCUAACAAAUCAAAUGUUUGCUUAAAAAGGAAAAUGAAACAAGCAAGCACAACGACUUAGUUUUCAACUUUGAGUUUUCCUGAAAAUGUGAGAAAAAAAUGUUAGAAAGAAAGGAACUCGAAUUUUUGAGGGAGGCGCCCUGAGGUUUUGUCCACCCAGCGAAAAAGUGAAGUUUCUAAAGUCGAGUGUGGUAACAAUUUUGUUUUUAGUUUUUAGCUUUUGAAAUUUUGGCUUGUUUUCUUCUAAAUUCGUUAAAUAGUUCUCAUAUAACUUACAGAAACAUUUGAAGUUUUAGUCAAAUUUUGAAAAUAAAACACUCUUGUUUUAGUUUAAAAGGUAUGACUUGGCUUUUUAAAAUUGUCGACAAAACAAUAAACAUAACUUUCAAAAUCUAAUAACCAAAAUACUUAUCAAACAGGUGCUAAAUUAUUAUGGUUGAACAGAAUUGUAUUUAUUCGAGUUUUAUCACGCCAACUAAAUUUGUGAAAUCAUUGUUUAUGAAGGCUGCCACUGUACAAUGAAGCAAAGCUAGCAUUCUUUAUAUAUCUUUGGCAUCCUAAAACAAAAGUGAGUGUUCAAUAUCUCUAGCUCAAAAAAACUUCUUUCUUAUUCACUCCAUCUCAAGUUUUGCCUCAAUGGAUAACUAACUGAAGUUUGUUUUCAGGGAGCAACAUAUAUGUUUGAUGUUGUUCUUCAGCCAUUUAUAUCGAAACAUGAAGCAAAAAUUGAUCGUUGCCUUGUUGAACUAAGGCUCAAGACAGCAGACAUUGCAGCCUUGUUUUGGCACAAAACUACUAGUUGCAGCCAGACAACAUUACUCGACUUGCUUCGUAAUGUUUCGUGGAUGCCCACAUCACAGACUUGUCAUAAUCAGGUACUUUUAAUGAGAAGAUUAUCAAUGUAUUUAUUUGAGAAACUUCUACAAAAAACUCUUUGAAAUUAAGAGGCCUUGUGUGGUGGUGGUGUGUUUGAUUUAGCAUUGGCACAAUCUCAAGAAGGAUGAAACGGAACUAGUGGGAAAGACAACAAAAUGUGUAUCAACUAUGGAAAAUAGAGUUGCUGCAGAUGAUUCCAAGAAGAAGGUAAGUUACGAUGAACAAUUGUCGAAAUCCAAACGUCGAAAAUGGCGAGUUUUUAACUUCAUUUGUGUCAAAUAAGUUUGAGGUUGCUGUAAUAUUUAACAUAUGAUAUGGAAAAGGGCAUUGUGAAGCUUGCUUUUAGGAAACAAUUUGUAAUUUUAGUGUGUUGUAUAUGAAUCUUCAUGUGAUAUAUAUCUCUUCUGUUUCAUGGGCAAUCUGAUUUAUAACAGUUCGAUUAUUGUUCUUUCUAAUUAUAAGGUGGUUGGAAUCUCAACGAUGUUGUGUGUUGUUACAAAUCUACAAAAUGUCUCUAUUCAUACAAAAUAUUCAGAUGUAUUCAUUUUUUAAAAAAUAAAAAUGAAAAAAAGCUAAGCUUUUCAUUUUGGAUUAUGUAUGUUAAAAAUAUCUAUAAACUUUAAAUAACUUUAAAUAAGUUGUUUGAAGACUACGUGGUGUUCAAAGAUUCAAAUUAUUGGGAGAAAUUGUACAAAUGUUCUCUUUUCUUCCUCAUCACUAGCUAGGUAUCAAAUCAUAAUAGUUGACAUAUAGUUUUGAUUCGACUAAGGUGGCAAAAAGGUAAGAUUAACUUGUUUGUUCUAAUCAGCCCUAGGAAGAACCAUGAUGAAUAUUAAUUUAGGUUGUUUUAAGCUUAAAUGAAAUAAAAUUAAAUUGACAAAUCUAUGAUCAAGUUAUAAUUGAGAAAACAAGAGCUCAAAAGCGUAAGUUAGACCAUUUAAUGAUCAUUCAUAUUCAAUUUCCAUUUAAUUUCUCUGCAAUUUAUUUUCUUGGCUUUAAAAUAUUUAACUGAAAAAUUCAUGUGCUCUGUGUAUUCAACUUGAUCUUACUACUAGGACUAAUUUGCAGUGGUGGAUAUAGUUAAAUUAUUUGAUUCAAAUUUAAACAACAAAAUCUGCUUGAUCAUCUUGGCUAUGAAAAUGAUCCUCCAAUGCUGUGAGAUCGUUUUCUAGUAUCAAAUAACCCUCUAAAAUCUGUUCACCAGACUCCUAAAAUACGAGCAUAAAUUUAUAAGGUGUCUGUGUGCCCCAAUGCAUUUUUCUGUCUUCUAGCCUUAGUUUUAGCUAAUAUUAUUGGCUUCUUUUCACCUUUAUUUUGCCUUUUCCUAAGAAGAAAAUACUUUUCAGGUGCUUUUCAAUUUAUCUUAGUGGAAGGUAAACUAUUAAUAAAGUUAGAAAUUACUAUUAGAAGUAACAAUUUAAUUAGCUUCUCAAAGUUUAAAAUUGUAACCAAAGAAAAAGGAAGAAAAUAAGUUAAUUGAUCCCAAGAUAAGAAAAUGAAAAAGGAUUGAAAAAGAUGAAGUUUGUUUGACAACAGAAAAGUUUGAUUUCUCUAUUUUUCAUAUUUGUAUUCUACGUAUCACAAAUAUUUGUAGAGAAUUAAGGUAAAAGAACUCUUGCCUACACUCGCACACAUCAAAAUAAUUUUUCAUGUAACACCACCUAUUUUUUAGACAAAUAUUUGGACCUUAAUAUAAUAGACCAAGAAAAAUAUAGGAAUGAAACAAAGCAAACAAAUAUUAAAUGAGCUUGAAUUAAUGGGUUAUCCUAUGAAACAUUGAAUGAAACUUGAAGCAUAUUGGCAUAGUGAGGGAGAAUCAAAUAUAUUUAUAAAUUAUCAUUAAACGAUCAUAUGACAAUAAUGGUCUAUUUAGUCAAAGGAGUGGAGUGAGCUAUUAUAAUCCACUUCAUGUUUGAUCCAUAAAUUUCCUUCAACUCCAAGAAUAACCCUAGUGAUCAUUGUUCCUCUCUUUUUUGUUUUGCAUGACUAUUGUUUCCUCCUCCCUCUCAACUCCACGAUGCACUGUUCUCCUCUCCCCAUUUGUCUUCCUUCUCCUAAAUGAUCUUUCGUCUCCCUUAUCUAUAAUGUCCUUUCGUCUCUCCUUGUCUUGAAACAGUGAUCUUUCCACUCUGAUCAUCGUUCUUCGCCGAAAAAUUUCUCAAAUUUGUUUAGGAGUUUAGUCGUUGCAUGUUCGAUCCCUUUUUCUCUUUCUGAUAUGUUAUUGUAGUACUGUGAGUUUAGUAUUGUUCUUAGUAUCACGAUUGGUUUCUAUGUUUUUUCUUAAUAUGUGACCAUUUGAGGCUGAUAUUUCUUUUGCUUUCUUAUGGGUGAUUCUUAGCUUCUAUUCUAAUAAUUUUUCUCCAUGUAUUCCAUGAGUUGUUUUCAAUCCAUCAUCGUAGUACUAAUUAUUUUGUGAACUUAUUAUCAUUGUCCUAAGGUUUAAUUACAAAUGAAAUGGAACUUUAUAUAUUUAUAUUUCACACUAAGCACAUGUUGAAGAAUUUAAUUUUGUAUUGUUUUCUUAUCAAUUUGUAGGAGAUGUAUCUCUAAUAUAAUUUCAAAAAGAUCACCUGAACAAAUGAGAAAAUUACUUUUAAAGAAAUUAUAGUUAAAUUUAUUAGAUGAACAACGCAAUUAACAAGAUUGAAUAAAAUAACUCUGAAAAAGAAUAGUGAAGAAAGAUAAGUUUUGAUAUAACUUAAAUUAUAAUAAUCAGCACUCCAAAUACAAAUUAUAGUAACCGCAACUAUAAUAAUACGUGUGUGAAAGACAGACAAUAAUAAUCUAAUUUAGGUUAAUAGGGAUGAAAUUAUAGGUUAAAUGGUAACAAAAUGAAAAGGAAAGAAAGAAAGAAAAAAAAGUGGAGUAUUGAGAAAUAAUGGUGUAGGAAAAUUGACACGUGGGAGGGGGUAGGUCACGUGUAGAAGGAAGAGUGAUACAAAGCGACAAACGUGACGAAAAAAAUUGAAGAUGGGAGAGGGGAUGGUCGAUGGUGUGCCUUGCCUCCGCCCCAACCCUCCCACCGCCCCACGUGUCUCCACCACAUACGUAUUAGUGGUUACAAACCCUCUACCCCUUUUUCUUUCUCUUUUUCUUUUUUCUUCAAACUUCUACCCUAAACUGCAUAAUCAACACCAAUCUUUAACAUUCAAAUUUUAAAUCUUACCAUAUAACUAUCACUCCAUCACCCCAACACUUUUAUUGCUAACACAAUUACCCUACCAAUCAUUUUACAUUCUAUUAUAAUUAAAAUAACAUUCAUAUUAUUAAAUCAUCAAUUUAUCCAAAUCCUUAAACAAGUGGUAGAAGACAAAUUUAUUUAUAUAUCAUCAAUACUCUCCUCACAUGUGGACUUGAAAUAUUUGAAAGGUCCAACAACUGAAAAUUAAUUUUAAUUGAGAUGAAAACGAUGAACACAUACCUAUGUGGACCACCUGCUCUAUUAUCGUAUUUAACAGAGUUUUCAAGAAACUUUCACUCAAUUUAUUUAUAAACAAGUGGAAGAAUUUAUACAAAUAUGCGCAUGUUAAUGUGCAUAACCAGAUCAUUCAUUUAAAUUCAAGCUACCUAAUAUAAAUACAAGAUUCCAAUGAAAAGUUAUUAAAAUGAUUAUAAACAUAUCAAAAUAUUGGUAGUAUAGAGAGUUAGAUUAUUACACGUGUAAUUGAGCAUACGACACACAAUAAUCUACUACAAGAAAACAUUAAAUUUUUUCUUUGGUUAUAUUUAUUUAGAAUAGUGUUUGGAAAAAGAGGUUAAUUUGCACUAUUAAUUUGUUAGAAGUAUUCAAUUAUCUUUCAAAAUUGAUGAACAGUUUAAUGUUAACUUGAGACAAAAUUCCAAUUUAAAAGAUGAAUUAGUGAAACCGAACUUGACUAAAAGAUAAUCCGACUAACCUUUUAUUAUUUAGAGAUUCAAAGUUUUAUCCAUUCCACAAUUUUACUUUAUAAGAAAAAUUCAAUGAACAAAUAGUUAUUUUAUUUGAAGUUUAAAGUAGAAAUGAUAUGGAUGGAGACACGUUGAUGGUCAUGGAUCAUCUCUAGUGCUGAACAAAAAGAAGAAGAAAAGAGAAAAAUUGGAAAGAAGAAGAAGAAGAAAGAAAGAAAGAAAGAAAAGUGUCUGAAUUUGGUGGUUCUGGAAGUUGCAUUUAUGGCGUAAUCCAAUAAAAAUAUAUGACUUGAGUAAUCCAAGCAACUUGAUCCUUCAUACCCAACACAACACAACACUAACAAUCUCUUUCUCACAAGAGUCUCGAGCAAAAAGCUCCUCUCAUAGUUCACAGGACACUCUAAAAUUAAAUGGAUCCUCUCCCUUCUUCACCUUCUUCAUCAU
rnacentral:lncRNA from 1 species